ACCCUAUCCUUCCCCAUUUUUGAGCAGCCGCACAUAUUGGAGUUCCCCUCAUGUUCUUUGUUUGCUCUGCUAAUAUACAACACACACAAAAUGGAGGUUAGAGGCUUCAUCAUCUCCACAUGACAAAAGAAAACCUAACCUCUCAUCUCCUCACUUUUACCAAAACCCUAGACCAAACAUAUGUGCAGCCGACAGCACCUCCUCCCUCUCCGACCUGAACUCCGACGCAGCGGCAACGGCUCUGCCAACGGCCGCUCUCGUUCCUCCGACACCGCACACCCCUCUCCUCCUCUUCGAUUACCGCCGCCGCACACCCGUACCCCUCUUCUUCAUCUGCGACCGCCGACGAAGAAGAUCAGACACACUGAUUACGACGAGGAAGAUGAGCCACACUGAAGUUGAGGAUGGCAGUGGUGUCGACGGCAACCAGAGCCGACGCACGGUGGCAGCCGGCGUCGACAGAGCCGGUGGUUCAGUUCUGAUUCCGGGUUCGAGCUUUGGCCGACAUCAAUCAACUCCGUUCGACAUCCAUUCGUUUCGAGUCUCGGGAUUCGGGUCAGUUUGAAACUCGGUCAACCGCGGUCAAGUUUGGUUCAUUCCAGAUUGGGUUCGUCAUAUUCGGAUAACCAUUUCGAAUGUUCUCUUGGAUUUUUUUCUCCAUCUCUACUCGUGAGUUAUUUCAAGGAAUCCUCAUGCGCAACCAAUGAUUGUGACAGAUGAAUCCAGUAGGAUUACCUAGAAACACAUUUAAACCUUGUUGCUCAUUGUAUUGUAAUUUACUUUCAAUCCUGUUGUAUUCUGGUUCAAAUACUUGUAAUAAUGCAUUAUUAAUGAAAUGAAUUAUAAUUAUUUGAAUA